CCUACGGGGGGCAGCAGUGAGGAAUAUUGGUCAAUGGACGGAAGUCUGAACCAGCCAAGCCGCGUGAGGGAGGACGGUACUGUGAGUUGUAAACUUCUUUUGUCCGGGGGCAAAGACAGAGACGCGUACCCGGCUGAAUGUAUCGUAAGAAAAAGGAUCGGCUAACUCCGUGCCAGCAGCCGCGGUAAUACGGAGGAUGCGAGCGUUAUCCGGAUUUAUUGGGUUUAAAGGGUGCGUAGGCGGUCUGUUAAGUUAGCGGUGCAAUCCCGGGGCUUAACGUCGGAACUGCCGUUGAUACUGGCAGACUAGAGAGGAGGAGAGGUAGGCGGAAUGCACGGUGUAGCGGUGAAAUGCUUAGAGA
rnacentral:rRNA from 1 species